CCUACGGGAGGCAGCAGUGAGGAAUAUUGGACAAUGGGCGCAAGCCUGAUCCAGCCAUGCCGCGUGCAGGAAGAAGCAUCUAUGGUGUGUAAACUGCUUUUGUACAGGAAGAAACACUCCCUCGUGAGGGAGCUUGACGGUACUGUAAGAAUAAGGACCGGCUAACUCCGUGCCAGCAGCCGCGGUAAUACGGAGGGUCCGAGCGUUAUCCGGAAUCAUUGGGUUUAAAGGGUCCGUAGGCGGUUUAAUAAGUCAGUGGUGAAAUCUGGUCGCUCAACGAUCAAACGGCCAUUGAUACUGUUAGACUUGAAUUAUAAGGAAGUAACUAGAAUAUGUAGUGUAGCGGUGAAAUGCUUAGAUAUUACAUGGAAUACCAAUUGCGAAGGCAGGUUACUACUUAUGGAUUGACGCUGAUGGACGAAAGCGUGGGGAGCGAACAGGAUUAGAUACCCUGGUAGUCCACGCCGUAAACGAUAGGAUACUAGCUGUUCGGAGCAAUCUGAGUGGCUAAGCGAAAGUGAUAAGUAUCCACCUGGGGAAGUACGUUCGCAAGAAUUGAAACUUAAAUUGAAUUGAGG
rnacentral:rRNA from 1 species